rnacentral:ncRNA from 1 species
UGCGAUGAGUCGAAGUAAUCAGACGAAUUUAUUCGUUCCGCUGUGGCGGCUAGUGAUUUUUUUCGAACGGGACACAUAUACUGGCGGAUUUCCAGUGUGUUUGUAGGUGUUCAUUGUGGAGUGA